AGGUAACUCGAUGCUGUAAAUAUGAUAAUGUUGGAUUCAAUAGCUCAGGCAGGCAACUGAUCAAGCUACAUCCUCACAGUGAACGGAUCAGGGAUCACGGCUUU
rnacentral:SRP_RNA from 1 species